UAUAGCACUUAAUAAAGUAUUUAUAAAGUCUGCAGUGGUGUACGGUAAUGUCCUAGGCCUUCACAUUCACUCACCACUCACUCCCUCAGUCACCCAGAGCGACUUCCAGUCAUGUGAGCUCCAUUCAUGGUAAGUGCCCUAUACAAGUGUACCAUUUU